AGGACGAACGCUGGCGGCGUGCUUAACACAUGCAAGUGGAGCGACGAACCAGGCUUCGGCCUGGGGCAAAGCCGCGAACGGGUGAGUAACACGUGGGUAACCUGCCCUGAUGACCGGGACAACCCGAGGAAACUCGGGCUAAUACCGGAUGUGCUCCCAUCACACCAGUGGUGUGAGUAAAGAUAGCUUCGGCCUUCGCAUCGGGAUGGGCCCGCGGCGCAUUAGCUUGUUGGUGGGGUAACGGCCUACCAAGGCAACGAUGCGUAGCUGGUCUGAGAGGACGAUCAGCCACACUGGGACUGAGACACGGCCCAGACUCCUACGGGAGGCAGCAGUGGGGAAUAUUGCGCAAUGGGCGGAAGCCUGACGCAGCGACGCCGCGUGAGGGAUGACGGCCUUCGGGUUGUAAACCUCUUUCAGCAGGGACGAAGCGAGAGUGACGGUACCUGCAGAAGAGCACCGGCAACUACGUGCCAGCAGCCG
rnacentral:rRNA from 1 species